rnacentral:rRNA from 1 species
AAGCGAUUUAACGGAAGUUUUCGGAUGGAAGUUGGAUUGACUGAGUGGCGGACGGGUGAGUAACGCGUGGGUAACCUGCCUUGUACUGGGGGACAACAGUUAGAAAUGACUGCUAAUACCGCAUAAGCCCACGGCCCGGCAUCGGGCUGAGGGAAAAGGAUUUAUUCGCUUCAGGAUGGACUCGCGUCCAAUUAGCUAGUUGGUGAGGUAACGGCCCACCAAGGCGACGAUUGGUAGCCGGACUGAGAGGUUGAACGGCCACAUUGGGACUGAGACACGGCCCAGACUCC